CAUUGUCACCUGGAACAUGAGAGGUGGAAGCUGCAGGAGAAAACACACAGAGGUCUCUGCUGGAGAGGGGCUGGAGGGCGGGGCCUCUGCCGGCCUCCUCCCGGGACCUGUAGGAGAGAGGUGGAGUGCUGGGGUGGCUGGGGCCCUGCAGGGCCCAGCCAGGCUGCUGGGUGAUUUGGUCCUUUUUCAGGAGACUGUGACCCUGGAGGGAGGGGCCUGCACACUGUUGGCACCCAAUAGCUGCGCAGGAUGGAUGAGUGCCUGCCGACAGCGAGGCUCAGCUCAGAGGUUUCGCAGCAGAUGCACACGACCAGACAGACACCCCAGAGAUGGGCUGAGGGUGGCUCAGAGGAAGCGAGGCCAACAGCUGCCCUCAUGCCAGACCCAGCCCCAGGGACCAACCAGGGUCAGGGGAGAACCUUCUAGAAGGGGAGACAGCCACUGAGAACCCAGGAGCAAAGGCAUAAGCUGCUAUGGGGCUGACCCUGAGCCGCUGGGAGCAGCCAGGCUGGGGGCCGCUAGGCCUGUGGGGAGGACACGGCCCUCCGCCUGAGGCCCAUCCCACUGGGGAGCUGCUGGCCCCUCCCAGCAGAGCCGAUGUGAGGACAGGGCCCCAGACCUGGGGCUGCUCCAGGAGGUGGGGGCCCCAUUGCUGGGAGACUGCUGGGUCUCUGCGUGGGGUCAGCUGGACACAGACUCCUGGGCUAAGCCACACACCCCAGUCCAGCUGUGCACCCCCAACCGCGGCCCCCCUUCCUCUCUGUGCUCUCAGCCCCUCCCCCUCGAGCCCAGGAAGUAAGAGAUUUCCUUGCAUGGUUCAGAGCCUGUCAGUAGCCACAGGCCUUCAUGCCCAGCAUCCGGCCAGUCCUGAGGGGCAGCACAGGAAAAUGCCCAUGCCGUCCGUGGCCUCUGAGCCUGGGGGAUGCCUGCAGAGGGGUCUGUGUGGCUAGGGCUCCCUCCUCAGACCCCGGACCGUGUGCUCAGAGCAGGUCCAGCAUUGUGAACCCCUGUCCCCUGCACAGUGGGAUGAGGCCCCUGCCAUGCCCACUCCUGGCAGCGACCCCAGGGCCAUGCCUGCUCCAGCCUCGGGCCCCAGUGCCUUCAGAAGGGCCCUGCUCUCACCCUGGCCCUGCAUGGUCAGGCCCUGGCCGACCCCUGGCUCCUCUGGUCCUGGCUAUUCUGGUCCUGGCUUCAGCCACUCGGGACCUCAGUGCGUGCCUCCGGGCCUGGACAGGACCCUGUUUCCUGGCGCGUGUCCCCUGGGGCCUGGAGGCGUGUUUCCUGUGUGGCUUGCGGGGGGAUGAAGUGCACAUUGCCGCCAGUUUGUCUCCACGGCCACGGGUCAAUGGACAGC